rnacentral:misc_RNA from 1 species
GAUGAAGAACGUAGCGAAAUGCGAUAAGUAAUGUGAAUUGCAGAAUUCAGUGAAUCAUCGAAUCUUUGAACGCACCUUGCACCCUUUGGUAUUCCGAAGGGUAUGCUCGUUUGAGUGUCAUUGUACUCUCACACUUCCGAUCGUUUGGAUCGGGAGCGGUGGACUUGGGUGUUGCUGCUUUACUGUGGCUCACCUUAAAUGCAUUAGUGCACCUUUCGGUUGGACAUAGUACGGCGUGAUAAGUGUCUUCGCCGGCACCUCACAGAGGGUGGCUGAUCGGGAGCUCUGUGCUUCAAACCGUCCUCGGACAACAGCUGACCACUUGACCUCAAAUCGAGUAGGACUACCCGCUGAACUUAAGCAUAUCAAUAAGCGGAGGA